rnacentral:tRNA from 1 species
GCUUUUUGAGUAGGUAGAUAGUAUCCUUGGUAAGGAUGAGGUCCCCAGUUCGAAUCUGGGUAGCAGCUCCA